UACAGAGGUCUCAAGCGUUGUUCGGAUUCAUUGGGCGUAAAGGGUGCGUAGGCGGCGCGGUAAGUCGGGUGUGAAAUCUCGGAGCUUAACUCCGAAACUGCAUUCGAUACUGCCGUGCUUGAGGACUGGAGAGGAGACUGGAAUUUACGGUGUAGCGGUGAAAUGCGUAGAUAUCGUAAGGAAGACCAGUGGCGAAGGCGGUUCUCUGGACAGUUCCUGACGCUGAGGCACGAAGGUCAGGGGAGCAAACGGG
rnacentral:rRNA from 1 species